GGGAGCGGAUGAGUCCCGGUGGGCUUCGCGGACUUCAUAUCCGUUGGGGGGCACUGAUAAUGCUUUCGGUGGGUUCGACUCCCAUGCGCUCCCGCCA
rnacentral:tRNA from 1 species